GACGUAGGGCGCGAGCGUGUCCGGAUUUAUUGGGCGUAAAGAGCUCGUAGGCGGCUUGUCGCGUCGACUGUGAAAACCCGCGGCUCAACUGCGGGCCUGCAGCCGAUACGGGCAGGCUAGAGUUCGGUAGGGGAGACUGGAAUUCCUGGUGUAGCGGUGAAAUGCGCAGAUAUCGGGAGGAACACCAAUGGCGAAGGCAGCUCGCUGGGACGGUACUGACGCUGAGA
rnacentral:rRNA from 1 species